UACGAAGGGGGCUAGCGUUGCUCGGAAUCACUGGGCGUAAAGCGCACGUAGGCGGAUUGUUAAGUCAGGGGUGAAAUCCUGGAGCUCAACUCCAGAACUGCCUUUGAUACUGACGGUCUUGAGUCCGGGAGAGGUGAGUGGAACUGCGAGUGUAGAGGUGAAAUUCGUAGAUAUUCGCAUGAACACCAGUGGCGAAGGCGGCUCACUGGCCCGGUACUGACGCUGAGGUGCGAAAGCGUGGGGAGCAAACAGG
rnacentral:rRNA from 1 species